GCAGACACAUUCCAGCCAAUCAGCAGCAGACCCUCCCUCCCAGACCCUCCCACCUCCUGGACAGCAUCCAUUUUACAUUCAUUGUGAAGCUGUAUUCUUAGUGAGCUGUCCAGGAGGUGGGAGGGUCUGGGAGGGAGGGUCUGCUGCUGAUUGGCUGGAAUGUAUCUG